GUGAAAUUUUAAUCUAAUCAAACACUUUUGAAAAAAUGAAGACUGCAAUAUAACACAUUUUUCUAAAUUUAUUUGAAAAUAAAACAACGGAAUAUAAUAUAAAAACACAAUCCAGAAUGGAAAUCAUUUCUUCGAAAUCAAAUUAAAAGACGUUUAAAAUAAGAAACUCGUUUUAUAAUCGCUAGAUAAAUAUGAAGAGCAGAAAGAAGAGAUAAUAUUUUCUUGAUGAGAGACAGAAUAUAUAAUCAAUAAUUUGAAUGAAAUCAAUGAUAUUAAAUUCGCUAAAAACUUUUUGCCAGCUGUUUAAAAGCAAUUUUGAUUUUUAUCAUCAUUAUAAGAAAUCGUACUUUCUUUCCGGAUUAAAUUUUAAAGAUAAUUUCAUUCAUCUGUAACUCUAUCUAUCAAUAUCUACGUUUUAAUUAUUAGCUAUAUAAUAUAAAUGUUGAAUAAAAAGCUGAGGUACCCGGCUUCUCUCGGAAAAAUGAUAUAUUAAGUAAAGAAGGAUUCGGUCAUUCUCAAGUGAUACUCGAACAGGCAGACAUACAGAUGUGAAUUUGAAGUAGCCUGGCGAAAUAGCCUUUCCAGACUAUCCUGAAUAUAUGUACCAAAAUUCAUAGAAAUCAGUUCAGUCGUUGUCACAACAAACAAACAAACAAACAGGCAGAUGGGAAUUCAAUUGAAUUC
rnacentral:lncRNA from 1 species